rfam:Ricinus communis cultivar Hale ctg_1100012284016, whole genome shotgun sequence.
AGUCCAUGGUGUGGGCAGCAUCGCAAUAAGUCCUUGUACCUCUUCCAAGUGUCAUACAUCGACUCAUCGUCAAACUGCACUAAAGAAGAUAUAUCAUUUCUAAGUUU